rnacentral:lncRNA from 1 species
GUUGCCAUACUCCCAAAUGAUACAUAAACAACACACCCGUUUGCCCGAUCGUUUAACCAUUUGAUGCAAGAUUCAUUAUUUGGCUUAAAGAUGCUGAAACCAUAGUCUUUGUCCUCUUCAAUUUGCUUACCGAGGUACAUAGAUGGUUUUGUUGGUCCAAUUGUCUUCAAUGACCAAUGUUUACCCAGCCAUUGAGCUACCUGCACAAAAUAGAUUAAAAGUCAAUUAAUGUCAACAAGCAUUUUACGAGACUUUUCGUUAGAUCAAUUGGUAAUUAAAAUCUUGUGACAUAAUUAAAAGCUUGGAAUUUGAAUCCAGGCUCAUACGUGUAAACUAGGACAAAGUGAAAUUUUUGAAAAACUUAUAAUUACCUCUUUCUCCAGCUCAUAAAAUGUGUUGCAAAGAACCCAAUCAGCUUUGUCAAUAUUAUCAAAUUGAUAUUUUACCACCAUAUCAGAAACAGCAGGAUAUGACCCCAAAUCGUAAACGAAUGAAGGCAUGUCUUGAGGCUCAAGUGGAGGCAUUCCAGGCAACAAUAAUUGACUGUCUAGAAGUGGAAGCUUGAGCAAGCCCUUGUUCACAUGGUAAUAUAUGCAAUCAACAACACAAGAUUGAGUGAGGAAUGCGGCUCCAACCAGCCCAAACUUCUUAGCGACAUCGAGAGCCCAAGGCAAAAAUGAAUCGUACACAAUGCAGUCG